AUGCCCCUUUUUUGCCCACCCUGGACCAAUAAUUGUCCUUGGUGACCAACACAGGGGGGUAAAUGAAAAUCUCUCAUAAACCUGUAGUGAAGACGCUAAUCUUCACUGCGGAUCCUGUCGGGAGAAACAACG